rnacentral:tRNA from 1 species
GGGCGUGUAGCUCAGCUAGAAGCCAAAUAUACUAAAUAUUUGGAUUGGCAAAGCAGAGCGUUGGGCUCUUAACAACUACUUGGGCGAUACCCAAUGGCCGUGGGUUCGACUCCCACCACGCCCGCCA